rnacentral:rRNA from 1 species
AUUGAACGCUGGCGGCAGGCCUAACACAUGCAAGUCGAACGAGUGGCGGACGGGUGAGAAAUGUCUGGGAAACUGCUUGAUGGAGGGGGAUAACUACUGGAAACGGUAGCUAAUACCGCAUACCAUCAGCUUUGCCCAGAUGGGAUUAGCUAGUUGGUGGGGUAACGGCUCACCAAGGCAACGAUCCCUAGCUGGUCUGAGAGGGUGACCGGCCACACUGGAACUGAGACACGGUCCAGACUCCUACGGGAGGCAGCAGUAGGGAAUAUUGCGCAAUGGGCGAAAGCCUGAUGCAGCAAUGCCGCGUGUAUGAAGAAGGCCUUCGGAUUGUAAAGUACUUUCAGCAGGGAAGCGUUACCCAAAGAGAAAGCACCGGCUAACUACGUGCCAGCAGCCGCGGUAAUAC